rnacentral:rRNA from 1 species
CACGGGGGGAGCAAGCGUUGUUCGGAUUCAUUGGGCGUAAAGCGCUCGCAGGUGGUCCGCUGCGUCGUGCGUGAAAGACCCCGGCUCAACUGGGGGAUGUCGUGCGAUACGGGCGGACUGGAGGCCAGUAGGGGGAUGCGGAAUUCCGGGUGUAGUGGUGGAAUGCGUAGAGAUCCGGAGGAACACCAGCGGCGAAGGCGGCAUCCUGGACUGGUCCUGACGCUCAGGAGCGAAAGCGUGGGGAGCGAUCCGG